AGAAGAAGAUUAAAAAUUGAAUUUUGCUGAAGCUUGACAUUGAACAACUUUACAGGUUGAAAAAAGGGUUGAUCCAACAACUGGGCAAUCAACAAGGCGGAUAAAAAAAUCUUAAUUCACUACUUCAAGCUGUUGAGACUUUAAUUAACUGAGCACAAGUGAAUGCCAUUGCAGUUGUGGGAUGCUUCCCAGACAAUGACGUCGACAAUGUCUAUGAUUACCGGCAAGGAAUGGUGAGUUAUGUUAAAAUAUAACAGAUUAAAGUUGGAGGUGUAUUUUUGGAUUAUUUAUCAAAUUUGGAUUCAAGGUCAUUAGACUAAAAAGAGAUGGUUAUGCAGUUUAUCUUCUGUUUUUUCCUUUCUGUCUUUGUAUUACCUUUUCAACUAAUCUUAUUAAUUAAGGCCACUAGUACAUGAAGUUAUCAUAAAAUUCCCAGAUACACACCAUUUGCUUUUCCUAAAUCUUGCUAAGCUCUUAGUUACUUUCUGUUAGAACCCACAUGUAUGUGGAAGCAAUUCUCUUCUUUACAAGUGGCAGCCUUAGAAUGGAAAGCAAGUGGAAGUUUUAAUAUCCCUUGGCCUUCCACAAACAAAAAUUGGUGGCAAUUAUGAGGAAGAGGAAGCAGCAGGAAAACAAAAAUAUAAAAGGGAGUGAAGUGUAGCAGGCUGGGGGUGUGGAAAAAUAAUCUAAAUAACCUGAAGGGGAGUUGCAAAUCUCAUAAAAAUCUGCUUGGGAAGUUGCAGAUCUCAUAAAUAUCUGUUUGGGGAGUUGCAGAACUCAUCAAAAUUCUACAGAAAGUUUGUUAUUUUAUUUGGUGUGUUAUUGUAAGUUAGUUUGUGAUCUUUUCAUGUACCUUGUCUGAGGUAGAUUAUUGUAUUUUAAUGAGUGUUUCUUGUAAGGCAGUUUGUAUUGCAGGUACUCGUAAAACUUAUACCGGAAGUGUUUCGGUUUUGUUUUCUAUUGAGUGAGAGAGUCAUUCUGCAUAAUCCAUAUUGCAAAUAUAUUUUUCAUUUUCUAUCAAUCGUUACAGUUUAUUUGAGUUGUGAACCAGAACCUUGCUGUGUUUCCUAACACUUUCACAACUUUGUCUCAAUGGCGAAGGAUUUUUCAACUAUUUGAAACUUUUUGAGGGCAAUAAUUUACCCAUAUCUUACACUUGCAAGACCGUAUUAAGCUGUAUAAUUGUGAGGCUUCUAUGUGAACAAGGUGUUGUGUUGUUAGGCUGUAUGAACUAGGAAGUUUAUAUUAUUUCACCUUAUAUUCAUGUUUUGCAGGGAAUAGAUUUAUUGGCCGGAGAGGAGGCUGUUAUGAGCCAUCCAGUGGUGAAGGAAUUUCAGGUCCCUUUUGUACAUGCUCCUGCUUUAUCACCUCUUCCAUUAACUCAAUUCCUUUGCCCUAAAUCAGCUGCUGAGGAGAUAGGAUAUACUUUUUUGCCCUGUGUACUAGCUGGGCUGAGUAAUGCACCACGGUACUUGGCCAAGAGCUCUGAUUCCUUUGAGAAGAGUAGCAUAUUGGUAGGUGAUAAGCAGGGCUGAGUGAGCAGGGUCUUUUAUAUGAUAGUGUUGUUUUCCUAUUGAUGCCCGCGGAGGAGAUGGUGCUCUUGCUCUUGCAACCAGAAAAAGAAAAAAGGUUGAAAGACAUCGAAGAGGUUUGCAAGUUAAAUUGUGGUGUUUUUUUUCUAUUAAACUUGCUUUUGAUUGUUUGGUGUGGUAAAAUCAUAUUUUGAUUGAUUGUUCGCUACCACAUAGUUCAACCAAUGAGGAGAGAGUUUAAUUUUGGUGUUAAUUUGAUUGCUUUCUUCCCAACAAAUUUGGGAUUAAAGUGGUUUGUGUUGAUUAUUAGGACAAAUUAUUUCAUGAUUUUUUUAAUGUGAAUGCUUUUGUCA